rnacentral:rRNA from 1 species
UACGGAGGAUGCAAGCGUUAUCCGGAAUGAUUGGGCGUAAAGCGUCCGCAGGUGGCUGUGUAAGUCUGCUGUCAAAGAGCAAGCUCAACUUUGUGAAAGGCAGUGGAAACUACACGGCGUAGAGGUGCGUUCGGGGGCAGAGGGAAUUCCUGGUGUAGCGGUGAAAUGCGCAGAUAUCAGGAGGAACACCGGUGGCGAAGGCGGAUCUCUGGGCCUUACCUGACGCUCGAGGUGCGAAAGCUAGGGGAGCGAACAGG